rnacentral:rRNA from 1 species
GAUGAACGCUGGCGGCGUGCUUAACACAUGCAAGUCGAACGGUGAAGGCGGAGCUUGCUCUGCUGGAUCAGUGGCGAACGGGUGAGUAACACGUGAGCAAUCUGCCCCUGACUCUGGGCUAAGCGCUGGAAACGGCGUCUAAUACUGGAUACGAGCUGCGCAGGCAUCUUCAGCAGCUGGAAAGAACUUCGGUCAGGGAUGAGCGCGCGGCGUAUCAGCUUGUUGGUGAGGUAACGGCUCACCAAGGCGUCGACGGGUAGCCGGCCUGAGAGGGUGACCGGCCACACUGGGACUGAGACACGGCCCAGACUCCUACGGGAGGCAGCAGUGGGGAAUAUUGCACAAUGGGCGAAAGCCUGAUGCAGCAACGCCGCGGGGUGGACGACGGCCUUCGGGUUGUAAACCUCUUUUAGCAGGGAAGAAGCGAAAGUGACGGUACCUGCAGAAAAAGCGCCGGCUAACUACGUG